rnacentral:tRNA from 1 species
GCCCGCGUAGCUCAGUCGGUAGAGCGCGUUCUUGGUAAGAACGAGGUCUCCAGUUCAAAUCUGGACGCGGGCUCCA